rnacentral:rRNA from 1 species
AUUGAACGCUGGCGGCAUGCCUUACACAUGCAAGUCGAACGGCAGCACGGGUGCUUGCACCUGGUGGCGAGUGGCGAACGGGUGAGUAAUACAUCGGAACAUGUCCUGUAGUGGGGGAUAGCCCGGCGAAAGCCGGAUUAAUACCCCAUACGAUCUACGGAUGACAGCGGGGGACCUUCGGGCCUCGCGCUAUAGGGUUGGCCGAUGGCGGAUUAGCUAGUUGGUGGGGUAAAGGCCUACCAAGGCGACGAUCAGUAGCUGGUCUGAGAGGACGACCAGCCACACUGGGACUGAGACACGGCCCAGACUCCUACGGGAGGCAGCAGUGGGGAAUUUUGGACAAUGGGCGAAAGCCUGAUCCAGCAAUGCCGCGUGUGUGAAGAAGGCCUUCGGGUUGUAAAGCACUUUUGUCCGGAAAGAAAUCCUUGGCCCUAAUACGGUCGGGGGAUGACGGUACCGGAAGAAUAAGCACCGGCUAACUACGUG